rnacentral:rRNA from 1 species
UUUUAAAUUUAGAGUUUGAUCCUGGCUCAGGACGAACGCUGGCGGCGUGCUUAACACAUGCAAGUCGAGCGAUGAAACUUCCUUCGGGAAGUGGAUUAGCGGCGGACGGGUGAGUAACACGUGGGUAACCUGCCUCAAAGUGGGGGAUAGCCUUCCGAAAGGAAGAUUAAUACCGCAUAAUAUAAGAGAAUCGCAUGAUUUUCUUAUCAAAGAUUUAUUGCUUUGAGAUGGACCCGCGGCGCAUUAGCUAGUUGGUAAGGUAACGGCUUACCAAGGCAACGAUGCGUAGCCGACCUGAGAGGGUGAUCGGCCACAUUGGAACUGAGACACGGUCCAGACUCCUACGGGAGGCAGCAGUGGGGAAUAUUGCGCAAUGGGGGAAACCCUGACGCAGCAACGCCGCGUGGGUGAUGAAGGUCUUCGGAUUGUAAAGCCCUGUUUUCUAGGACGAUAAUGACGGUACUAGAGGAGGAAGCCACGGCUAACUACGUGCCAGCAGCCGCGGUAAUACGUAGGUGGCGAGCGUUGUCCGGAUUUACUGGGCGUAAAGGGUGCGUAGGCGGAUGUUUAAGUGGGAUGUGAAAUCCCCGGGCUUAACCUGGGGGCUGCAUUCCAAACUGGAUAUCUAGAGUGCAGGAGAGGAAAGCGGAAUUCCUAGUGUAGCGGUGAAAUGCGUAGAGAUUAGGAAGAACACCAGUGGCGAAGGCGGCUUUCUGGACUGUAACUGACGCUGAGGCACGAAAGCGUGGGUAGCAAACAGGAUUAGAUACCCUGGUAGUCCACGCCGUAAACGAUGGAUACUAGGUGUAGGGGGUAUCAACUCCCCCUGUGCCGCAGUUAACACAAUAAGUAUCCCGCCUGGGGAGUACGGUCGCAAGAUUAAAACUCAAAGGAAUUGACGGGGGCCCGCACAAGCAGCGGAGCAUGUGGUUUAAUUCGAAGCAACGCGAAGAACCUUACCUGGACUUGACAUCCCUUGCAUAGCCUAGAGAUAGGUGAAGCCCUUCGGGGCAAGGAGACAGGUGGUGCAUGGUUGUCGUCAGCUCGUGUCGUGAGAUGUUAGGUUAAGUCCUGCAACGAGCGCAACCCUUGUUAUUAGUUGCUACCAUUAAGUUGAGCACUCUAAUGAGACUGCCUGGGUAACCAGGAGGAAGGUGGGGAUGACGUCAAAUCAUCAUGCCCCUUAUGUCCAGGGCUACACACGUGCUACAAUGGUAGGUACAAUAAGACGCAAGACCGUGAGGUGGAGCAAAACUUAUAAAACCUAUCUCAGUUCGGAUUGUAGGCUGCAACUCGCCUACAUGAAGCUGGAGUUGCUAGUAAUCGCGAAUCAGAAUGUCGCGGUGAAUACGUUCCCGGGCCUUGUACACACCGCCCGUCACACCAUGAGAGCUGGUAACACCCGAAGUCCGUGAGGUAACCGUAAGGAGCCAGCGGCCGAAGGUGGGAUUAGUGAUUGGGGUGAAGUCGUAACAAGGUAGCCGUAGGAGAACCUGCGGCUGGAUCACCUCCUUUCUA